rnacentral:snRNA from 8 species
AUACUUACCUGGCAAGGGAGACACCGUGAUCAAGAAGGCGGUUCACCCAGGGCGAGGCUCAGCCAUUGCACUCCGGCUGUGCUGACCCCUGCGAAUUUCCCAAAUGUGGAAAUCUCGAUUGCAUAAUUUCUGGUAG